GCAAACUUGGUCAUUUAGAGGAAGUAAAAGUCGUAACAAGGUUUCCGUAGGUGAACCUGCGGAAGGAUCAUUAUUGAAUGAAGAACAGACUUGACUGUAGCUGGCUCUUCCGGAAGGAAAAGGGCACGUGCACGUCUUGUUUUGUUUCCAACCUUCUUCUUACACCUCUGUGCACUUCUCAUGGGUUGGGCUUGUGUCUGGAAUUUUACGACUGCAGCCCUUCUCGUGUGCCUUUUCACAUACAUGUUUGUUCCAGAAUGUUUGCCGUCGUGCAAUAUAUGUUUAACAAUUGCAUAUGAAAAUACAACUUUCAGCAACGGAUCUCUUGGCUCUCGCAUCGAUGAAGAACGCAGC
rnacentral:misc_RNA from 1 species